rnacentral:lncRNA from 1 species
AUCCAUCUAUGACCAACUCGUAAUUUAUGUUUUUAGAGGUAUCACAACUUUAGUUGGGAUUAGUCACUAUCUUGCAACCUUUUGGGUUUUAAGCAUCAUUAUAUUCUAAACAGUUAACACUACCAUAUCAUCUCUACUAUAGAGACAAUCAAUUAGAUUACAAUAAUCCAAUCAUUAAUUAAUAAAGAACAAUGUUUUGUCAAACAAAACAUUCAUCCAUCUCUAC